AACAUGGUGGAUCUUCAAUGACACUUGAUGGAAUGAAUGAAGAAGAAAGCUGAAGUGCUUAGAAGAACCACAGGAAGAGUUGAGUACGUUUAGCUUGAGAAGAGAAUACUCCUGUGGAACAGGCUAAAAGCCACACAUGCAUGAAGAUUUUUGCCAGUGUGUGUCUGCCAGACAACUGGUCAUAGAGAAUCGACUUCUUGAGAGCAGAGACUGUACGUCCUUCAAGAUCUAACAGACUUGUGCACAGACAUUCCAUAGCCCCUGGAAACCAUUCUACUUCCUGCUCUGUGAAUUUGACUAUUCAAAGUACCUCAUGUAUGUAGAAUCAACACAAUAUUUUUCAUUUUGUGACUAGCUUACUUAUCAUAGAGAUUUCAAAGUUCAUCCAUGUUGUAACAUGUCAGAAUUUCCUUCUUUUUUCAGCCUGAAAACACUCCUAUGUCUCUAUCUACUACAUUUUGUCUAUCCAUUCUUCCGUUGAUAGGAAUAUGUGUUGUUUCUACUUCCUGGCUAUUGUGAAUAAUGCUAGGAAUACUGGUAAACAAAUACCUAUUUGAACUCCUGCUUUCAAUUCUUUUGAGUAUAUACCUAGAAGUGGAUUUGCUAGAUCAUAUGGUAAUUCUAUUUUUAAUUUUUUGAGGGACUGCCAUACUGUUACACUCCCAACAGCAUUGCCCAAGAGUUCUAAUUUCUUCACAUCCCCACCAGCACUUUUCUUUCCUUCUCUUUGCUUUCCCUCCCUCACUCCUUCCUCCUUCCUUUCCUUCCUUCCUUCUCCUUCUUUCUUUUUGUUCUCUCUGAUAUAGCCAUCCUAAUAGGUGUACAGUGGUAUCUCAUUGUGGUUCGAAGACCCUGGCAACUUUUCAAGCUGUCUUGCUGUCCCUCAGCCAGAAAGGAACUCAAGAUGGCCAGCAUGCAUCCAAUUCCACCAUUCCAUUUGUGGGUGGAAAUGGUGACAGAACCAGGUUAAGACCCAAACUCAGUAAACUUCUCUUGAUUAACAGUGAGCUGCAGCAGAACACAUUCUGAAUCACCCGGACACCUAGAGAACAAUACAAAAUUUGGCACUUUGUAAGAGUUAAAGUCUUUGCUCAAAGACCCUGAAAUAGUUCAGAAAACUAUGCUCUUCUUUGCAUAUUUAAAAUUUGAUAUUUAUAAUUUUAUCAUAAUUUAAACAGGUGCAAAGAAUAUAAUUUGUAGCAUAUUGUAAACAUUGACAUUUUAAAAUUAAAUGGUUACAUCAGUUUUAAAUGUAUCCAAAUGGAAUUUAAAUCUUAUAAUAGUUUGCUAUCCACUAUCAUCCAUUUAAGAAAUACACCCACAAGCUUCUCUUGAGCAAGCAAAAACUAUAUGUAACUUCCUGCCUUCCCUCUACUUCUGCCAUGGCUUCUCUG